rnacentral:rRNA from 1 species
CUUAUUGGGUAAGAGUGACGGGCGAUAUGUGCGUGUUGAAUACCAAUUUAAUUUGUUCUCUUUCGGUAUAUAAAGUAAUUCUAAGUCCUAUCUUUCUUUUCAUAUUUAUUGAUUUUUAAUAAAAGUAUCCCACUCUCUUUUUAAUAUAAUUCUUGUCUUGAUUUGUUUUAUUUUUUUUUUAAUUUAAAGGUAUUUUUAUUUUUAUCCUUUAAAACAAUGAUAUAAGAAAUUAUAAAUGAAAUUGAUUUAAUCGUGGGGUAUCGAUUAUGAUGCAGGAUCCCCUAGAUUGAUUCUACACCGCCAUUCCAAUUAGGUUUCUUUUAUUUAAAUACUACCUUCUAUUUGUUUAAAA